CUGGGGAUGCUCUGUGCUGGGGAUCUGAGGAUAUUCUGUUCUGUGCUGGGGAUGCUCUGUGCUGGGGAUCUGAGGAUAUUCUGUUCUGUGCUGGGCAUGUUCUAUGCUGGGGAUGUUCUGUUCUGUGCUGGGUUGCUCUGUUCUGUGCUGGGGAUGCUCUGUGCUGGGGCUCUGAGGAUAUUCUAUUCUGUGCUGGGGAUGUUCUGUGCUGGGGCUCUGAGGAUAUUCUGUUCUGUGCUGGGCAUGUUCUGUGCUGGGGAUGCUCUGUUCUGUGCUGGGGAUUCUCUGUGCUGGGGAUGCUCUGUGCUGGGGAUGUUCUGUUCUGUGCUGGGGAUGCUCUGUGCUGGGGAUGCUCUGUGCUGGGGCUCUGAGGAUGUUCUGUUCUGUGCUGGGGCUCUGAGUAUAUUCUGCUCUGUGCUGUGGCUCUGAGGAUGUUCUGCUCUGUGCUGGGGCUCUGAGCACAAACAGCUCCUCUCUUCACAGAGUGUCCCACCCCCUAGAAAGUGUUUGUAUCAUUCAACAGGGUGCUGCACGGUGCUCACCCAGAGCGGCAAGAAUCCAGCCUUUAAUCUUCUGCUA
rnacentral:lncRNA from 12 species